rnacentral:tRNA from 1 species
CGGAGCGUGGCGCAGCCAGGCAGCGCACCUGCUUUGGGAGCAGGAUGUCGCCCGUUCAAAUCGGGCCGCUCCGACCA